CCUACGGGAGGCAGCAGUGGGGAAUUUUCCGCAAUGGGCGCAAGCCUGACGGAGCAACGCCGCGUGUGGGAUGAAGGCCUGUGGGUUGUAAACCACUUUUCUCAGGGACGAACACAAUGACGGUACCUGAGGAAUCAGCCUCGGCUAACUCUGUGCCAGCAGCCGCGGUAAGACAGAGGAGGCAAGCGUUAUCCGGAAUUAUUGGGCGUAAAGCGUCCGUAGGUGGUCUAGCAAGUCUGGGGUUAAAGCCCGGAGCCCAACUCCGGAUCGGCCUUGGAAACUGCCAGACUCGAGUAAGGUAGGGGUUGCGGGAAUUCCCGGUGUAGCGGUAAAAUGCGUAGAUAUCGGGAAGAACACCAGCGGCGAAAGCGCGCAACUGGGCCAUUACUGACACUGAGGGACGAAAGCUAGGGGAGCGAAUGGGAUUAGAUACCCCAGUAGUCCUAGCCGUAAACGAUGGUGACUAGAUGUGGCUCGUAUUGACCCGAGCCGUGUCGUAGCUAACGCGAUAAGUCACCCGCCUGGGGAGUACGCACGCAAGUGUGAAACUCAAAGGAAUUGACGGGGGCCCGCACAAGCGGUGGAGCAUGUGGAUUAAUUCGAUGCAACGCGAAGAACCUUACCAGGGCUUGACACCCUGCGAACCCCGCUGAAAGGUGGGGGUGCCUUCGGGAGCGCAGAGACAGGUGGUGCAUGGCUGUCGUCAGCUCGUGUCGUGAGAUGUUGGGUUAAGUCCCGCAACGAGCGCAACCCGCGUCCUUAGUUGCCAGCAUUUAGUUGGGCACUCUGGGGAGACUGCCGGUGACAAGCCGGAGGAAGGUGCGGAUGACGUCAAGUCAGCAUGCCCCUUACCGCCCUGGGCGUCACACGUGCUACAAUGGCCAGCACAAAGGGUAGCCAGC
rnacentral:rRNA from 1 species